rnacentral:lncRNA from 1 species
GUGAACUGUCACCCCUACAACUCAGCUUGCAACCAGCCCUGGCCACCACCAGUUUCCCCACACUGAGCUGAAUAUUGGACAUGCCCAUCUUAGACAUUCCAGCCCAUUCUGAAAUUUCACAUCGAUUCACCCAACAAAGUCUGAAGUUCCAGGGCAAUUUAUCUGGAAAAGCUCACCUGGAAUCAUGUGUCAUUUCAACCAACAACUGUUGAAGAGGACGUGGCAUUAAAACCAAGGUUAUCAAUUAUUUAUAAGUGUUGUGUGGUGGUUGGUCCAAGCAUCUCUCCUUCACACCAUCACUCCUUUCAAGAGCUGCCUCUAUUUUCUAAUUUAGCACAGGAAUUUAGAUGCCCCUAAAUAAGUAGGCAUCCAGUAUCCGCCCACACCAGUUUUUGUGAGAGUACAUAUGGAGACACUGCCACCAUCCCUGCUCUCCUACUGCAUACCCCACCAUGCCAAAGCAUGGUGGCUCACACCUGUAAUCCCAGUGCUUUGGGAGGCCAAAGAGGAGGAACACUUGAGGCCAGAAGUAUGAGACCAGCCUGGGCAACAUAGUGAGACCUCAUUUCUAUAAAUAAG